rnacentral:lncRNA from 1 species
ACAAAUUUAGGUCUUGAGGGGUGAGAUAUAUAGGUGAGAAAAAGGAAAAAGGAGGGGUCUCUUUUGAUUGUGGGAGGAUUCUUUGUUGGGUGAGAGGACGCAUUGCAGAGUGGAGAGGGAGAAAGGAGUAUUCUUUGGGAACGCAGGAGAGGAUCAACUGAGGUGAUUCUGAGAAAAGGUGGAGAGGUGCACAAGAGCUGGAAAAAGAGAGAUUGCAGCCGAGGUUCUAGCAGACGGAAAGGGCCACAAUUGGUUCUAUUGAGAUUGGUGGGUUGUUUGUUUAUUUGCUCUGAUUUCUUAUUCAUUUUUAGGCUUUUGUUCUUUUCAAUGUCAUUGAUUUCAUUUGAGAACAAUAUGCAUUUGGGUCUGUUCUUGAAUCUGAUCUGUUUUGAAUCAUUCCCCUAUCCUAAGCCAAUGGAUUGAAACAUGAAACGUGGCUCCCUUUUUAUCGUCUCGUUCUGUUUUUUUUCAUUUUUUUUAUGCUCUGUUUUCGAAUGCCAUUCUCUCUUUCCGACAUUUGCUUGUGAGGAAUCUUCUGAAAACUGCUGAAGCGUGGAAUUCGAAUUUGGAAAGAUGAGAUGGAAAGAAAAUGCAGGGUUUUUGUGCAAGCACAUUCGCUAAAAAACAAAAGGACGACCCCACACUUGCUGUCUCGAUUCUCACAGCAGGGCCUUGGCCAAUUCAAUCAAAUGAUAUGUAUAACCCUCCAGUAGAGAUUCUGGAAGUUUGUGAGAAAAUCAUAGGUUAUUAUCUCGGGACCUGCACUGGGAUGAGAUUGUAUUGGCAAACGAAUAUGGGCACGGCUGAUUUGAGAGCAACGUAUGGUAGGGAUCAGCAGGAAGAUUUAAUGGGACUGCCGUAGUUGAAAUGGAUGAUUUUGGCUUUGGUGGUGGUCCUUGUUCUAUUGCCGUUACUGCAGUGUUAGAUUUUUUCUGGCAGAAGUGAUUUCUGACUUUAUUACUGAGCAGGGGAAAGAUGCGCAGGUCAUGGAGACAAUUCUGGAAACUACUCCUUUAUAUAUGCUAAGUCUAUUUUUAGUUUUCAAGGUCUGUGCCUUAGCAGGCUGAUGAAUUCCCUUGAAAAGCGUCUCUUGUGUGAUGACGAGGAAGAUGAGGAAAAGUUAGAUGAGAGCCGCUGGUCAUCCAAUUUAGAUGCAUUGUGAUUGCAGAUCGUGCAUAUACGGGUGCUUUUCUUAGCCUGUCACUGUACUGAAAAUUCUGGAAUUCUUGCUGUUUAUGCUACAGCUUACAAAUAAAGAUGGAUGAAUUGAAGGAGUAGCAUCUAGAAAAGGCCUUUAUCCAAUCUCCAGAGGGAACAAACAGCUUGAUGCUUAUGUACAAUUGAUAAUUAAGUAUACAAACCGUAUGGUAUUGUUCUGUUUCUUGCCAUCGUUCUUGAUUAGUUCAAAGAAGAUGAUCGCUCUUAGGUUUGCAAAUUGGACCUAAGGAAGAGGAAUCCCUAAACUCUUCAGAGGAAGAUACAGGAAUUACUAUCUGCACAGAUUUACAGUUAUUAAUUGCUCACAGACGAAUAAUAUUCUGACCCAGCAAUUCUGAUACUGAAUUAAGUGGUAACCUAAAUUACUGUCUCUGUGUAAAUUUAAUUCCUCUUCUCCAUGAUCAAAGACGAAAUGCUGUGAAUAUGGCAGUUGGUGUUGUCAAGAAUCCAUUGAUGCAUUGCAAGGCUGCACUAGAGGACUUGCGAGUCUCUAAACCAAACCAAGGUCAGUCUUUUGGAUGUACCACAUGGUGGUUUUGACAAACUAUCGACAAGAAACUUAUCUACUUCCUUUGAGUGGCUGCACACUAGUGAACAGGUUGUUAAUAAAGUACUGGAGCAGUGUGCUGUUAUUAUGCGGAUGCAACAUAUUGCUGGAUCAUCAAAGUUAUAUGGAGUGAGGAUGAAAAGAAAUGGUGCUGAAGCUCCCAGAGCAUUUCAUCAAGACCCAACAGCCAUUUAUGCCACAACCUCGUCUGAGACAGCCAUCUGGGUUUAAUGAUAUUCAGUCGGUACAGCAGCACAUCAUGUUCAAGCAGCUGCAAGAACUUCAGAGGCAGCAGCAACUUCAGCAGCUGAGUGGUACCAAUCAAAACUCUAUAGUGAAGUGAAGGCAUUAGAAGUUGAAAUAGAUGCUGUGGCAUAUACUAUUUAAUAGGCAAGGAAUGCCGAAAGAAAUGAAAAUCAUGUCUCGGAUGGUAAUGAUAACAGAGCACAAGAAGAUGCAGAUAACUUGUUAUUCAGACUUCUCUCAAUAAUUUGACUCUUUAGCAUGCCUUAGUUGUUGAUCGUCUAAGAAGCCUCAAGAAAAACAAAAGCUUAACUUGAAAUAGAGCUUUCAAUGGAGUAGGGAGGAUGCCUUAGUCACAUCGUCUGCACAAUUAAAGAAAGGUCCAAUCCAGUUUUCAUACAAUUCAGAGUCUGAUGCUCACAGGAAUACGUUCUCUUCAUCUUCUACAAAAUUUGGACUCAGCAGCUUUGAUGAAGCCGCACUUUCUAUUGAUGAUUCUGUAGAAUACAUGGGAGCAUUGAACACGGUAAAUUUUGGAGCCGAAACCUUCGAAGCCAAAGUCACUAUGUUAGACGACGCUCAUCCAAACGCUCUAAAGAUUUGAAAGCCUAUUGAAGGAGUUGCUUGAUCAGAAAAGUAUUAUGAAGCAGGCAUUAUAUUCCAGAAUGGAGGGUUUAGGAAUUAUCUUGCAUAAGAUUCAGAAUACUGUCACAAUUAUUAAUGAGAAGGAAGUUGUUGUCAUCCAGUCAAAAGAUGAAGUUCUUUGUCUCUCCUAUUACUCAUGCUACAGUGCAAUCUAAGGUUGAAGCAUUUAGCCAAGUCAGAUUCUGUAGUAAUAUAUAUAUUAUUGAAGAAUCUAGGGAGAAUGACAUCGCCAAACGGAUCAGGGAAUGAAUGCCUUAAGGAGAAUAUUGAUACAAAAUUCGUUGAAGAUGACAUGUUUAUUGGACAAUUAUUCCUGGAAUGAGAUGGCUCUCUGAGUCCCAGACUCAAGAGUAAAUAGAUGCAGUAGUUCAAGUACCUCCAACGGUGAUUUAGGCUCUUCAUCAAGUGAUUUGGACCCAGGCACUUCUUCAGAUAGUGAAUCAGAAUGUGUUUCUACAAUUCUGGUAAUGACCCUGCUGGAGAUAUAUAGUUACUGUGAUCUUAUAAUGAGGACUCUCUAUUCCGUAUAAGGAGAAGGUCUUGAUCCGAGGUAGAAAGAGACAUGGUUUAAUCGGUGACCAAGAGAUACCCGGUUUUCGAAAUGGCUUAGUUCAGAUUCUACAGCUGUCAGUAGAGAUAUUCUGGCCAGAAUUAUGUAUUCCAAACAUUUGGGCACGCAGAUAUGGCCUUCGAAAAUGAGGAGCGCAGUUUUAAACGGAAGGAGAUUGUUUUGGGAAAGGGAAAAACAGGUUCUUGUGACUGUCAGCUUUCAAGUCUUAUUUCAUAUUGUUGGUUUGCAACCAAUGAGCUCUAAGUCUGCAAGGAAAGUAAAAUCUGCAAUUAAAGAAUGAGUUUGAAACUGAAGACGAUAUGAUUGGGGAUGGAGCAACAGAAGAUCAAAACCACAGGCUUGGACCUACUACAGAGUUGAAAUGACCAGUUUCGUUCAUUAUAUUUAUGCUUUUGGUGAUUUUCUUCAAAUUCUGCAGAUCUGCUGGAAUGGUCCCUGAACUUGUAAAGCUUGGUGCUUGCUUCUUAUUUUCCAGUAUCUCAUGUUCUCGAAAUAAUAGAAGACUCUGACCGCACUUAAAGGAACCUCUUCAAGGUUCAGAAUGCAUGCAAAUCCAGCAACAAAAGAGGAAACACGCCACAUCCUGGAGCAUUUAGACGCUAAGAGUUUGGCAUUAAACAAAAAGGAUGGAGAUCAGCUUCUAGAUAGAAAUUUAAAUCUGGAUGAGGGGAGCUGCACAGAUGCAGAUGAUUCAGUCAGCUUGUCUAUUUCAAGAGAGGUUCAAGAUGGAAUAGGCCAAAUUGCCAUUCAACCACUAACCACACAAGAAAAUCUUAACAGUUCCAAAAGACAUCAAUAAUGAGCAGAUCAUCCAACUUUGUGCCUUCCAUGUGGUGGUCCUAGUUUAUAGAACAGAGAAGAGAGAAGAAACCUUCAAGAGGAACAAGAGGAUAGAGGAGCUUGGUGUAUUCCUUUGGCAGCCACUUUCAAAAGUCCAGAAAUGUGGAAUCCAUCAGAAAGUCUCUAGCUUACUGCCCAUUUGCCUUCACACAUGCGACUAAGUUGCUGAACCCUUUUGACUGAGGAUUAAUUUCUUAUUAUGGGCAAUUUGAUACGCCUAAAGAACGAGGAGUCAUCCGAGGAACUGGACAUCUGAAAAUCAAUUAAGACGCGAGCAUUCAGUUGAAGAAAGUCAUCUGUGAGCAAGUUGACGAUAGGAGCAGAACUCAGAUGUUAAUUACACUCAAACGAUUUCAUAACAUUCUGUGAACCUGAAUUAGAAGAAAUGCUAGGAGACGUCAGUCAGAGUGCACCAAGUCCUUGCUCAGGUUGUGAAGAAUUCCAUUUCAGCAAUCUACAGAAGCAUCCUCAGGCAACCUAAGUAGUUCAGUCUCAAAAGCAGCCCAGACACUAAUCCAGCUUGGCCGCCUUGCCACACAUCAUACUCCUUCCAAUGUUUCUUUUUCUUCUUUUUUGUGAUCUUAUACAUCUUAAAUCUAGAUUUCAAAACCAUUUUCCAUCAAAAUAACUCCAGUUUUCUUUAAACUUCUUUAGGAGUCUCUAGGCUUAAAAUCCAGAUUUUAACAAAUCUUUUCUUGCCGCUUUCCUUCCGGCACGCAUUUCUAUUGUUUUAUUUGAUUUUCAACUGAUUUUUUUUAUUUUCUCGAUUUUCAACAAGCAUGAACAAACUUUAUGAUUCCAAACAAUGGAAUUCAUGGAAUCAACUCAUGCAAAAUUAAUUAGGGCUUUGGUGGGGGCCCGACAUUCAUGAUAUCCUCUUCAAUAGUGUUUGUUUGACAUUUGAUUAAUUGUGCUUUCUCUGUGAGAUACAUGAGAUUAUUAUGUACCUAUUAUUAAGCAAUCUUGUUUCCCAUAGUGGCGUUUUAGCUUGCUAUCUAGGUACGCUCCUUCACACCUAUUUUUGAGAAUUCCAUGGACACAUGUGUUAUUGAUGACUAUAUCCAUACAUGAUGUGAUUUUUGGGUGUUUUGAUAUAUGCUUGAUUUGCUUAGAUAAAACAAAUGUUGUGUCAUAUUUCCAAACUAAUCUCUUAUGUUUCAUGAUAGCGCUUGAGAAGUCAUUCAGGUACGCACUUCGACUCUCUCUUAUGGUUUGUUUUCUCUUUAGGCAUGCAAUAUUUGAAAUCACCUAGCCUACUUAGGUAUCCAUAAUUAACUGAUUAAUGGCCACACUUCCCUUAACUUUGUUAGUAGAGACCUUUAUAGGGCUUAGAGGGGUGCUACCUUUUAAAGGUACCUUCCCAAUAGGUAACCUGAUCCCCGGACUUAGACUCGGGUUUUUCAAAGACAUGCUUUUUCCAAAACUAUGGAGUCACUUUUUAGGGUUUUUCUUUCUUGUUUUAUUUUCCCUUUAAAAUAAAAAUAAAAUAGGUGGCGACUCCAACUUUUUUUAAAAUUAAUUUUUCACAAAUAAAAAGCAAGUCUCGCCGAUCGAGUGGGGACGCACGUAAAAAAUGCGGGUCCACAAAUUGGCGACUCCAACUUUUUUUUAAAAUUAAUUUUUCACAAUAAAAAGCGAGUCUCGCCGAUCGAGUGGGGACGCACGUGAAAAAUGCGGGUCCACACUUAGCUCUAUCCCUUGAUAAGAGAUAAUCAAGACCAGCUUCUUGUGAGUUGGUUCCUACACCACCUUCAACAUUUGAACCUAUCACCUUAGUACCUUUUGUCUCUAGGCCACCAUGUGCUAAAUCAUUUUGUUGAUCAUGACCAUCUUGAGAUGAUAACUCCACCUCAAACUUAAAAUGGUCUUUGUCAAGUGUCAAGCUCUUGUUUUUAGAAUCUUUCUUUGUACCUGCAGUGUUAGUUCUCAUAAAAAGCAUUUCAUUUUCAUUAAACACAACAUCACGACUUAUUAUUAUUUUAACACCCGAAGAUUCCUUAUUCCAUAACUUGUAACCUUUAACACCCUCUGGAUAACCUAAGAAGAUACAUUUUAUUGACCUUGGUUCUAAUUUUCCUUCACUUUGGUGAACAUAAGCUGUACACCCGAAGAUUCUAAGGUGAUCAUAGUUAGAAGGCUUUCCAGACCAAAGUUCUUCUAGAGUUUUAAGGUCUAUUGCACUAGAUGGAGUUCUAUUUACUAAAUAGCAAGUUGUCAUUACAGCUUCACCCCAAAAAUGUUUAGAUAAGCCAGAACUAUACAACAUACACCUUACUCCAUCUAACAAUGUCCUAUUCAUCCUCUUUGCUAUGCCAUUUUGUUAAGGUGUAUUCCUUACUGUAUUGUGUCUUAAAAUACAUUGAUUUUUACAAAACAUUUUAAAUUCCUCAUUACAAAAAUCUAGCCCAUUAUUUGUCCUUAACACCUUUACUCUUUUAUUGGUUUGAUUUUCAACUAAAGCCUUCCACUCCUUAACCUUUGUUAAGACAGUAUGUUCAUCUUUAGUUCUUAACAACUAUAGCCAAAAUUUUCUAGAGUAAUCAUCAAUCAAGGAUAGAAAGUACCUAUUUCCACCGUGAGUAGAGACUCUUGCGGGCCUCCAUAAAUCUGAAUGCACAUAUUCUAAUACAUCAUUUGACUUGUGUAUUGAAGCUUUGAAUGCCAACCUAUGUUGCUUGCCAAGAAUACAAUAUUGACAAAAAUCAAUUGCUGAUGCUAUCCCCACACAAUAGGCCCUGUUUGUGCAAUUCUUUUAGACCUCGAUCACUCAAGUGACCAAGUCUUCUAUGCCAAAGAAUUGUUUUAUCAGUUUCAAUUCUUAACACUGAUCCCACUAAACCUUUCAAUGUGUGACCUUCUAGGAUAUACAAUCCAUUUCUCUUCUGACCCUUCAUGACAAUUAUGGUACCUUUUGAAAUUGUUAAUUUCCCAAUUUCUACUUUGAAGUUAUAACCUGAUUCGUCCAAAGUUCUAAGAUAUAUUAGAUUUCUCUUCAGGUUUGGUGCAUGCCUGACUUCUUUUAGAGUUCUUGUCAUUCCAUCAAACAUGUUAAUAGCCACCGUGCCAAUUCCAACCACACUGCAGCUCAUGUUGUUUCCCAGCAGUAUCUUUCCACCAUUAACUUCUUGGACAAAUAUGAUAGGUGCAACCUGAGUCCAAGACCCAUUCUUCAUGAUUUUGAUUCAAUGUAACAGUGAGUAUCUCUGCACUAUCAUAACCAUCAUCUAUAAUGGCAACACUUCCUUGUGCUUGAGUCUUUUCUUCUUCUUGUCUAUUUGGACAAAUUCUUCUUAUAUGUCCCAUAUUGUUGCAAUGAUAGCAUUUGACAUUUCUAUAAUCUUCCUUGCCUUUGGACUUUGAUCUUGAACGAGAUUUUCCUCAAUUUCCAUCGUUAUUUUUAUUCUGAGGUAUUCCUCUGGCAGUUAAACUUUCACCAAUGUUAGUUUUGUCAGAGGACUUCAUAUCCAACACCUUAGCAUUCAAGGCAUUUUGAACAUCAUCAAAUGUAAUGGCAUCUCUGCCAUAUUUCAAGGUUUCUUUAAAAUGCUUCAAAGAUUUAGGUAGAGAGUUUAAGAGAAUGAUUGCCUUAUCUUCAUCCUCCACCUUGAAAUCUAAACUCUCUAAAUCCAACACCAAUUUAUUAAACUCAUCUAAGGCAUCAUCAAUUGGCUUGGAUUCUUCAAUCUUGAAACCAUAUAAAUGUUCCUUCAGAUAAAUGUGAUUUGGCAAAGCUCGGGUUUUGUACAGUUCUUCCAACUUUUUCCAAACCCUAGCAACAGUUUUCUCAUGAAAUACUUUUCUCAGAACCUGAUCAGAAAGACUUAAUAUGAUCGAGCCGUAAGCCUUUCUUUGAAAUUCUUGCAUUCACUUUUCAGUCAUGCUUUCUGGAAGAUCUUUAUCAAGCAAUAAAGCCUUUUCAACGCCCUGUUGAAUCAAGAUGGACUCCAUCUUCAUCUUCCACAACCUGAAGUCAUUUCUGCCAUUGAACUUCUCAAUAUCAUACUUUGUAGUCAACACUCUUCUUUCUCUGUUCUUGAUUUAGCUUUGAUACUAGAUGUUGAGGUUUUAUCCAAGUUCCUUAAUAAAUUGAGAUCAAACACCAAUUUAAGAAGACAAAGAAAAACAAUACCAGGAAUCAUAAAAUAAAAAUAAAAAAAAAAAUAAAAACAGAGCAAGACAAGCAGAAUUUAUGUGGUUCGGAUCCAAGAUUUGAAUCCUAAAUCCACGGAUCAAGAUCACCUCCAAAAAUCCACUAAGAUUGAACCAUUUUACACCCUCAAGAAUCUCUGAGAAUUUUCUUGCUCUCUCUACAGUACAAUGAAGAAGAUUCAAACUCUGAAAUCCUUUCACACCUGUUCUGAAAUCCAAAUAUCAAGUCUAUGAACUAGAGAUAGGGCACUGCUUAAUCCAUAUAGACCACUAAAUUUAAAGAUUCAUUUUAAUUUUAAAGGAAUUUGGGCUUACCAUCAUCUUGCUAGGACACAUUGAAACAUGCAGUAAACGAUCAUCUAAUAUUAAACUGUGGUCUCGUUGUUCUUCAUGUUCCAGAAUUUGUUAGAAUUUCUGCAGUACGGAGAUAAGAAUCAAUACUCUUUACAUUUCCUACUAGUGAUGAGGAUGCCAGAGAUGUGGGAGUACUUGAUGGCGACCUCUUUCCAUAAUAUAUUGUCUUGAAUCCAAUGCAUUGUCUCUCUGCUAAACAAGGAGAAGUAGUUUUUGUUAUGGGCGUAAAUCAACUGCAGGAGAAGGAUAAGGCCUUGCGCUUGGAAGGGGCCCAUCCUACCUGAUGGUUUUUGGAGCUCGUGGGGGAGAUGCUGAGCGCUUUUUAUAUUGGGUGAUGCUCAUGAAUGUGCUGCAUGAAGAAAUCUCUGGAGCACAAGUAGAGGCGCCUGCUGUUAUCUUCUUUUCUGCCGGAGAUGGAGAUUGAAGACUCAUGGGCAUGCAUUUUCAACUUAGUAUUUUGUUGGAACACAUUCCACGAACUCUCUGGCACAAAAGCAGUAGUUUAAUUCAGAUUCACAGUACUUCGUGUAACUUCAGCCAAAGCAGACCAAGUUUUAAUUCAAUGAAGUGUAAGUUUAAGUUCAAAA